rnacentral:rRNA from 1 species
GACGAACGCUGGCGGCGUGCUUAACACAUGCAAGUCGAACGGAAAGGCCCUGCUUUUGUGGGGUGCUCGAGUGGCGAACGGGUGAGUAACACGUGAGUAACCUGCCCUUGACUUUGGGAUAACUUCAGGAAACUGGGGCUAAUACCGGAUAGGAGCUCCUGCUGCAUGGUGGGGGUUGGAAAGUUUCGGCGGUUGGGGAUGGACUCGCGGCUUAUCAGCUUGUUGGUGGGGUAGUGGCUGACCAAGGCUUUGACGGGUAGCCGGCCCGAGAGGGUGGCCGGCCACCAUGGGACUGCGAUACGCACCAGAGUCCUACGGGAGGCAGCAGUGGGGAAUCUUGCCCAAUGGGCGGACGCCUGAUGCAGCAACGCCGCGGGCGGGAUGCCGGCCUUCGGGUUGUAAACCGCUUUCGCCUGUGACGAAGCGUGAGUGACGGUAAUGGGUAAAGAAGCACCGGCUAACUACGUG